rnacentral:tRNA from 1 species
GCCUCAUGGUAAGUUGGUUACCGCAAAAGACUCAUAAUCUUUUGGUCCCUGGUUCGAGCCCAGGUGGGCGCA